GACGAACGCUGGCGGCGUGCCUAAUACAUGCAAGUCGAACGCAGUGGGGACGGGUGAGUAACACGUGGGUAACCUCCCCUCAGAGGGGAUAACACUUGGAAACAGGUGCUAAACCGAUACUGAUGGAUGACCCCGCGGUGCAUUAGCUAGUUGGUGAGGUAACGGCUCACCAAGGCCACGAUGCAUAGCCGACAGGAGAGUGUGAUCGGCCACACUGGGACUGAGAAACGGCCCAAAUUCCUACGGGAGGCAGCAGUGGGGAAUAUUCGGGAAUGGACGAAAGUCUGACCGAGCAACGCGGCGUGAGUGAAGAAGGUUUUCGGAGCGUAAAACUCUGUAGUUAGAGAAGCGGUAUCUAACAAGAAAGCCACGGCUAACUACGUGCCAGCAGCCGCGGUAAUAC
rnacentral:rRNA from 1 species